rnacentral:lncRNA from 10 species
UGGCUUGACUGCCUUUCUGGCUUCUAUGACCACUCAGCAGGUCCGACUGUGACUAGAAAAUGUGAGCUACUGUAGCUCACCGUGGCUGGCACAUGGCAGUUUCUCAGUAAACAUCUCAUGGAUGAACGAAGGCGUCCUACUGUCCCUAAUGAGAAUGUCAGCCCACAUUCUUACUUCCUGCCUCCCAGAUGCAAGUCAGCUGUGACAGAGAAUCAGUUACCAUUCUAAGCAUGCUCCAUAUGCAAACUAUUCAAUCUCCACCACCCACUGAGAAGGUAUCAGCCUUAUUCCUACUUUACAGAUG